AUGCUGUUUGCCAUUGUUCAGUUUAUUGAUGAGGAGGAUCAGCCAUUUGCAGUGGUUCCGCAAGUGUGGCUCAGCGAGGGCAUGUGCUAUUGGCCCCCAUUUAACCUCCGCAAAAAAGACAAAGGCAACAAUUUAGCCAUCCGCUGCACGCCUCCACACAGCACCUGGGAGAAACAUCAUUUUAAGUUUAUGAAGGGAGCAGAAUGUUGGCAAGAGGCGAUGAGAUAUUUGGUGCGCUUCCAAACAGGUUCUAGCGUUGAAACGACGGACGAUGACAAGAAGAGAAAGAGAAAGAGAAUCUCAAAUUCCAAGUACAGACCCCAGGCCUCUUCUGAUGAAGAGGAGUCUAGUCUUCCAGAUGCACCAGCAGUGCUGUCGUUUGGACAACCUCUUUUGAGCUUUGAAAACAUUGUUCCUGGUAACAAGGUUUCAGUGCUGCCCGAUGCUCCAGAAGUUGCAUCGAUUCCAGAAAACCAGGAAAAUGUUGUGCCAUCUGUAGACUUCAGAGGUGGUAUGUAAAAUUGCUGUGAUGCUUGAUUUGUGAUCCUGCCACUAAACUAUACCCUUUGUUAGAUUUUCAAAUUUCUGUUUCCUCUUUCUCAGAACCAGGUUUCUCCCCAGAAAUUCAGACUCCACUUCACAGAGCCAAGAGUUUGAGUACAAGUAAGUGAUGUUAUUUGUGACGUUUUUUUGUCUUGGAAACUAUUGCUUAUGCAAUAACUUCAAACAUAUUUUUACGUCAAUGAUUAUCAAUAGGAGAAAGUCAUCGCUCUGUAAUUGGCCCUUGGACUCCCCUGGCAUCUCGUGUACAGCAUUAAGUUUUCAGCUAUGAAGGUAUAUUUUAGGCCUAUGUCUUAGUGUCCAGUGUUUUAAAAGUAUUGAAAAUAGUGCCUUUAGGUGUUUUUUUUUUUUUGUUGUUGUUUUGUUUUUUAAUGUAGAUUUCCAGAGACUCCAGAAUGAAAAACAAGCCGUGAUGGAGGAGAACCAAGCCCUUAGGGAGGAGAACCAAGCCCUUAGGGAGGAGAACCAGGCCCUUAGGGAGGAGAACCAAGCUCUGAGGGAGGAGAACCAAGCUCUGAGGGAAAGCACUGCACAAGCAGCUUCGGAUGACAGCGGCUCACUUCAAGAGCAGGUGAAGCAAGUUGGGACAAUGUUGAAGACGUUUGCUCGCACUGGGCAAUCAGGUGCAGAUCAGACCUUAAUGCUGCGACGUCUUGGAGAGUUUGGCGAUGUUGUGCGUAGCAUGGACAACAAAAUGGACACUAUGCUGCAACAUUUCAGUGCCAAUGUGUCUGUUGGAGAGUUAUCCCUGCCAGGGGAUCUGUUACUCCCCCUAGACACCCAGGAAGAUUUGGCGUUGCUUGACAACAGUUUGAGGCAGGAUAAAGAGCUCCAGGAACGAUUUCUUCGGUUUUUGGCAAUCAAAUGUGGGAGGGACCUAAAGACAACCGUCUGGCGGAUGCUUCAAAGUAUCUUCUCUAAUCACCUUUCCAUCAAUACAACCUGGACUGGAGUUGGGGAUAAAGCAUGUUUUAGAGACAUGUUCCUGAAGACCAUUGUUCAAAGUAAGUUGGAUGUAAAAAAAAAAUAUGUUUAG
rnacentral:lncRNA from 1 species